AUGUAUUGACCCUUUUUGAACUUUGGUGCUGGAGAAGACUUUUGAGGCAACCAUGGACAGCCAGGAAAACAAACAAACAAACAAAUGGAUCAUAGAACAAAUCAAUCCAGAAUUUUCCCUCAUGGCACAAAUGACCAGGGUCUAACUAUCAUACUUUGGACACAUUAUGUGAAGACCCAGCUUCCUUGAGAAGUCCAGAAUGCUGGGGAAAGUGGAAGGCAAGAGAAGAAGAGGACGGCCAGCAGCACUAGGUGGAUGGACUCGAUGGCGACAGCCAUGAAUGCACCACGGAGAGACCUUCAAGGCCAAGUGGAAGACAGAUCAGCCUGGAGAGAAUCUAUCUGUGUGGUCGCUAAGAGUCGACACCGACUUGACGGCACUUAAUCAAUCAAUAUACUUCGUUAAGGAUGCGGUAGAGGUGCAAAUCUUCAACCAGCCAUCAGAUGUCGCCCUCGCAGCAGUCAAGCGUUUCGCUGGAGAAUGCAGACGCACCUAAGAUCCUGCUUGAAGAGCACCUCAACGUGAAGAGCACCUCAACACCGUAGAGGCCACAGAUAUCACCAUCAGCCAACUACAAAAAGCAACUUUACUGGGAACAGCCUAUAUUCUGCAACAAUAUCUAUAAUAAUAACAAUAUUGAUAAUAAAAUUCAGGCAUCCCAGGUCCUUGGGAAGGACUCGAUGUCUGGAUAAAACAAACCAGUCAAUAACAUCGGUCUGACUGUGUAAAUAAAUAAUAAUAAAAAUAAUAAUAAAUGCUGCA